UUACUUAAUGUAGAUUUUCAUUGUUUCUUGGCGUGCUGAGGGGCAACGCCACCCGCGUCACGGGUUAAUAUUUGCUGCAUGCUAGAGCCUUGAUACAAUCAGUAUGUUGAUUGUUUGACGAAAGUGCUGAGGCAUCUUGCUUCUUGCACCUCUGCAACUUGGGUAACAGUUUUCGGUUGGUUAAUAUUUUUCUGUCUUUCCCGAAAUUCAAUUAUUCGCAACAUGGAACAGGUCAUGUGAACACUGGGGGUGUAGGGAUACUGGGCCUGGCAUUUACAUCAAACGUGUGUUUCAAAAUAAGUUCUUAGCCUGUUCUAGGCUGCCUGACAUGUUCACGUGAGAGUAUACAGAACAAGUUCAACCAACCAACGUGAUAAAAACUUAGGGAUAUACUGCAAUGUCAGUGAGUUUCUUGCAAUUCUUCACAGUUAUUUUUUUCUGUUGCUGUUCUCUACUACUCUGUUUGUUGAGAUUGUGUUAGCCUCAUACAAGAUCCUAUUUAGCGUUUGUUCAAUUAGUUGAACCUUGUCCUUUGGUGUUCAAGUGUAUAGUUAAUUAUUAGGAAACAGAAAAUGGUCCACUUCUCAACCCUCAACUCACUCCAAAAACUGUCCAAGUUGCAACCUCUAACGAUCGAAAACUGUCCACUUGACAGGUUGUUUCACAAGUGUAUUUUUUUACUGGUGUGAAGGCCAUGUGUUCAUUAUGUCACCGUGUCACUGGAUAGCUCAGUAUAGAGUGAGAACAAAGAGAAAUAUAGUGAGAUAUGGCACAGGACCAGUAGUAAAGUUCAAAGUUGGAAUAUGACUUGUGAGUGUUCAGAGUUUGAAGUGGAAAUUUGCAAGUGUUGAACUCCCCGACAAGAAACAGCCCAACUCUGAGCUUAUCGAUCUGAAAUGCACUUUUCAACCAAUGCCUUAGCGAGAGAAUGGAGGAGUAGACGCCUCUUCUUCUGGUUUGUGUCAAACUUACUAGUUGUGGUUUAACGUAACAAAUAUCCAGCCAUUAGCAAAGGUAGGUAUAAUGUUAAAGUGAUCUAUGUGAAAAAUGGCCCAAGCCCAAACAAAUUAGCCCAAUAGCAUUAUGUGCAUGGUCACCCCAGUCCUAGUACCUCACGGAAUAGACUUGACCGAGCUUGAUCUAUCAAUAUGCAUUGACGGCUCUAGCAAAUACCUUUUAUAUGCCGCCCAUGAUGUUCCAGUUGAUCGAUUACUGCCGCCGCACUAGGGCAUAUAGAUGCGCAGGUCAGAAUCGCUCGGACAUCUAUGCUUUGUCAAGCAUCGUGACCGCAUCCCCACUACAUUUAGCAAAAUAAGUAGCCCACAAUUCCAGUGUCUUUUGGCAACCUAUAAUAUCUAAAAUUUUCAUUUAACCAUCUUUGACGGAGUGGUCCCAACGAAAGGAAACUAUGCCUUCGCCAUCAUUUCGUAAAAAAUAUUCGGAAGUUUCUAAUUUCUAAGGGCUCGGGGUGUCCUCCAUGCUAAAGUGUAAGUGGAUUAAACAGACAUAGAAACCGCAAUGAUCCGCUGAAGGACGAAAGGAGACAACUAAUUCUCUUUAUGGUUAUUGUGAAGUAUUUGAGACCUAAUUAUGUUCUCAUGGAAAAUGUUGGUGACCUUCCGCAAUUUUUUGGUGGACUUUUUUGGAAGCUAUGCGUUGAGCCUCUUUGUGGCCAUGAGUUACCAAACAAGGCUUGUGCCUAUGGUUGCAUGAUCUUAUGGGCUACCGUAAUUUAGGAUUCUUGCAUUUUUUUUGCCAUGAAAUGCACAAAUCCUAAAUUGUGGUAGCCCAUAACUCCUCCAACCAUAAGCCCAAGUCCUGUUUGUUAACUCAUGGCCACAAGAUGACUUAAUGCAUAGCUCCUAGAAAUCCAAAAAAAAAUUCAAAAGGUCAACAACAUUCUCCAUAAGAACAUAUUUGGGUCUCAAAUAGUUCACAAUGUCCAUAAAGACAAUUAGUUGUCCAUUUAUUUUGUCUUUCGGUGGAUCAUUGCGGUUUCUGUUUCUGUUUAGUCCACUUGUGCCUUGGCAUAGAGGUCCCCCACAAAUAACAUUCACAAAACCCUGAGAAAUUAGAAAAACAUAAAUAGCUGCCAGCCUGCCACAUCAAAUGAACAAAAAAUAAACAUAGGGGUUCGGUACCGUCAUUAAGGAAAAGUCUUCAAAAUGGAAAUGAUGUUGCCAUAAAAGUCUUCAACCUAGAGAUAAGGUGAAAAACUGGUUAUUGCAGAAUGUCAUGCCUUAAGAAAUGUAUGGCAUCGAAAUCUACUCCCCAUACUAACAGCAUGCUCAAGCAUCCAUUCUAAUGGGAAUGAUCUCAAAGCUCUAGUGUAUGAGUUCAUGCCCCGAGGAGACUUGCAUAGAUUACUGAAUUCAGCUCAAGACCAUGAGGGCUCUUUAGACUUCAUACACAUUACAGUGGCUCAAAGGCUAAGCAUUGUUUUGGAUGUAGCAGAUGCGUAUCUACAACAUAACAACCAAGGAACUAUUGUUCAUUGUCAUAUGCCUAGCAAUAUUCUUUUGGAUGAUACUAUGACUACUCAUGUUGGAGAUUUUGGUCUUGCAAGGUUCGUAGUUGAUCCAGCAGCAUCAUCACCAGAUGACUCACACUCGACGUCUUUGAUUGCAAUAAAUGGAACUAUUGGAUAUGCUGCUCCAGAAUGUGCAACAUGUGGUCCAUGUUUUGACUGCUAGCUAUGUCUAUAGCUUUGGAAUUGUUGUACUUGAAAUGUUCUUACGGAAGAGGCCUACAGAUGCUUCAUUGUCUAUGAAGAAUGGGUAUGGUAUACACUCUGCUAACCAGUGUGCUCCUAAGUAAUACAUGUUCUUCAGAGAAAGGGACUUUUCGCACAGACAGAUCAAAGGAACAUUAACCAAUGAGGCUGAAGGCACAGGCUCUCAUAUCUGGAGACGCUUCUCAAAAUUAUCCAAAAAUUGUGGCCUCCUCCUUACGAUCAUCAGGUGUAACAGCCCAAGGUCAGCCUGUGUGUUCGGUGCCGGUGGCUUGGAAGAUGCAAAAGUGUAGGAGUAGAAGCAGUGCAAGGAAGACGUGGCCGUGUGGGACCAGAAGCAGUAUAAGACUGUCGCUUCGGGCAGCUAUUGCACUGUGCUCCGCCACUGUGCUCGCCUGCACCAUUGUUGAGCAAUAGAGAACUAAGGUUCAGAUUCAGGUGCUCGGUUCCCCAUCAAGGCCUUCGCCUUCAGGAGGGCUCCCGGAUAGCAGUCAGGAGCCGAUCGAUUCCAUGGAAAUAUUCAUGAUGAAUACAUCUAUUUAGAGGCACUCUUGAUCCUUCCACAUGAGAACUUCUCUCAGUGACUACAACUCCCUUCCUGGCAGGCCUAUUGACUACUUCCCCAUUGAUUAAGGUUACUCUGUGCGAUUGACUUAUGCUUCUAGGGCUGAAGCCUCAAACAACUCUCCACUGGUUCUAUUCUUACGGACUGGCCUGAUUGGUCGACGACCACCUUAUGAAAAGCAGUGGCGCACCUGCCCGACCAUUGGAGCAGUGCAGUUCAGUUCAUGGCAGAAUUCUCCUAGACCUUUGGCCUCCUCUGCAUCGCGACCGUUAAUCUCUCUAGGUAGUGUCGCCUUCUUUCCCACCCUGGCAGCUGCCUCCAAUGGCAGAAUUGUCACAUUUGCUCUCGCUGGGCUGGAAAGGAAGUAUUCUUGCCAACAUUACUUUGGCGGGUCUGUAGCCGGAGUGCCAUUGGACUCCUGUAAAGGGUUGGCUUCCUUCUCCACUGUAAAUUUUCGUACAAUAUUCCAUUGAAACUGAGACUACAUUACAGAGGAACAUGAUGGGAUCUUAAUGAUCCAGCAAGUGGCACUCAUCUUGUUGAAAAACCAAAAGUUUGGGUGAAUCGCAAAGUGGUGGAUAGAAGUUGAAACCUUGAUCAGAGGCUUUCAAAAUAUGGCAUAGCUAUCCUGGAGUAUGGCUUGGGCAACACACUCUGCUUGUGCGGCUCGUCUAGGCAGAGCUUCCUCCCUGAUGAUUGCCUGGUCACCCAUGCUGCUUCGGUGAUGACUUUGUUUAAUCUGGGAUGACUUCUUGUUGCAUUUUCUUUUGAGGAAUCAGCCAGACCUCUGUUAUGUUUAAGGUAAUAUGACUGGCAAUGUUGUUAAUAGUACGAUGAUGACAUCCCGUGACUGUAUCGGUGUGCUGCUAGCAAAAACAAAUAAAUGAUCUCCUUGGCUUGAAA